UUGACCUCGGAUCAGGUAGGGAUACCCGCUGAACUUAAGCAUAUCAAUAAGCGGAGGAAAAGAAACCAACAGGGAUUGCCUCAGUAACGGCGAGUGAAGCGGCAAGAGCUCAAAUUUGAAAGCUGGCUCCUUCGGGGUCCGCAUUGUAAUUUGCAGAGGAUGCUUCGGGCAUGGCCCCCGUCUAAGUGCCCUGGAAGGGGCCGUCAUAGAGGGUGAGAAUCCCGUCUGGGACGGGGUGUCCGUGUCCGUGUGAAGCUCCUUCGACGAGUCGAGUUGUUUGGGAAUGCAGCUCUAAAUGGGUGGUAAAUUUCAUCUAAAGCUAAAUACUGGCCGGAGACCGAUAGCGCACAAGUAGAGUGAUCGAAAGAUGAAAAGCACUUUGAAAAGAGAGUUAAACAGCACGUGAAAUUGUUGAAAGGGAAGCGUUUGCGACCAGACUCGCUCGCGGGGUUCAGCCGGCAUUCGUGCCGGUGUACUUCCCCGUGGGCGGGCCAGCGUCGGUUUGGGCGGCCGGUCAAAGGCCUCCGGAAUGUAUCACCUCUCGGGGUGUCUUAUAGCCGGGGGUGCAAUGCGGCCUGCCUGGACCG
rnacentral:rRNA from 1 species